CACGUAGUUAGCCGGGGCUUCUUAGUCAGGUACCGUCAUUAUCUUCCCUGCUGAUAGAGCUUUACAUACCGAAAUACUUCUUCACUCACGCGGCGUCGCUGCAUCAGGGUUCCCCCCAUUGUGCAAUAUUCCCCACUGUUGCCUCCCGUAGGAGUCUGGGCCGUGUCUCAGUCCCAAUGUGGCCGUUCACUCUCUCAAGCCGGCUACUGAUCGUCGCCUUGGUAAGCCGUUACCUUACCAACCAGCUAAUCAGACGCGGGUCCAUCCCAUAGCGAUAAAUCUUUCAAAACAGGACCAUGCGGUCCCGCUUUCCCAUGCGGUAUUAGCAGCCGUUUCCAGCUGUUCGUCCCCCUCUAGUGGGGCAGGUUACCCACGCGUUACUCCACCCGUCCGCCACUCAGUCACUCCCAUAUGCUUCCCUUCCCCAGCAAGCUGGUUCUGUCUGGGCGGGUGGGUAUGUCUUUCGUUCGACUUGCUAGUGUGUUAGGCCACCGCCCGCCAGGCUUUCACUU
rnacentral:rRNA from 1 species